rnacentral:rRNA from 1 species
UACAGAGGUCUCAACCGUUGUUCGGAUUCAUUGGGCGUAAAGCGCACGUAGGCGGAUUGCUAAGUCAGGGGUGAAAUCCUGGAGCUCAACUCCAGAACUGCCUUUUGAUACUGGCGAUCUUGAGUCCGGGAGAGGUGAGUGGAACUGCGAGUGUAGAGGUGAAAUUCGUAGAUAUUCGCAAGAACACCAGUGGCGAAGGCGGCUCACUGGCCCGGUACUGACGCUGAGGUGCGAAAGCGUGGGGAGCAAACAGG